rfam:Leersia perrieri chromosome 8, whole genome shotgun sequence.
CCGACCUUAGCUCAGUUGGUAGAGCGGAGGACUGUAGUCUGUGCAGAUAAAUCCUUAGGUCGCUGGUUCGAAUCCGGCAGGUCGGA